UGUUUGUUUUGGCGAAUUUGAACAUUUUUGAGCAUGUGUAAUGGCAUGAAUGCGUUAAGCUGUUGUUUUAGUGUUCUUUUGAUGAGUUUGGCUUGUUGUUAUGAAAAGUGUUUGUUUUGGCCAGUUUGAAAGUUUUUGAGCAUGUGUAAUGGCAUGAAUGCGUUAAGCUGUUGUUUUAGUGUUCUUUUGAUGAGUUUGGCUUGUUGUUAUGAAAAUUGUUGGUUUUGGCGAGUUUGAACGUUUUUGAGCAUGUGUAAUGGCAUGAAUGCGUUAAGCUGUUGUUUUAGUGUUCUUUUGAUGAGUUUGGCUUGUUGUUAUGAACAUUGUUCGUUUUGGCCAGUUUGAAGGUUUUUGAGCAUGUGUAAUGGCAUGAAUGCGUUAAGCUGUUGUUUUAGUGUUCUUUUGAUGAGUUUGGCUUGUUGUUAUGAACAUUGUUCGUUUUGGCCAGUUUGAACGUUUUUGAGCAUGUGUAAUGGCAUGAAUGCGUUAAGCUGUUGUUUUAGUGUUCUUUUGAUGAGUUUGGCUUGUUGUUAUGAACAUUGUUCGUUUUGGCCAGUUUGAAGGUUUUUGAGCAUGUGUAAUGGCAUGAAUGUGUUGAAUUAGUAAUCCCUUGUGUUAAGCUGUUGUUUUAGUGUUCUUUUGAUGAGUUUGGCUUGUUGUUAUGAAAAGUGUUUGUUUUGGCGAGUUUGAACGUUUUUGAGCAUGUGUAAUGGCAUGAAUGCGUUAAGCUGUUGUUUUAGUGUUCUUUUGAUGAGUUUGGCUUGUUGUUAUGAACAUUGUUCGUUUUGGCCAGUUUGAAGGUUUUUUAGCAUUUGAAAUGGCAUGAAUGCGUUAAGCUGUUGUUUUAGUGUUCUUUUGAUGAGUUUGGCUUGUUGUUAUGAACAUUGUUUGUUUUGGCCAGUUUGAAGGUUUUUGAGCAUGUGUAAUGGCAUGAAUGUGUUGAAUUAGUAAUCCCUUGUGUUAAGCUGUUGUUUUAGUGUUCUUUUGAUGAGUUAGGCUUGUUGUUAUGAAAAGUGUUUGUUUUGGCGAGUUUGAACGUUUUUGAGCAUGUGUAAUGGCAUGAAUGCGUUAAGCUGUUGUUUUAGUGUUCUUUUGAUGAGUUUGGCUUGUUGUUAUGAACAUUGUUCGUUUUGGCCAGUUUGAAGGUUUUUGAGCAUGUGUAAUGGCAUGAAUGUGUUGAAUUAGUAAUCCCUUGUGUUAAGCUGUUGUUUUAGUGUUUUUUGAUGAGUUUGGCUUGUUGUUAUGAAAAGUGUUCGUUUUGGCCAGUUUGAACGUUUUUGAGCAUGUGUAAUGGCAUGAAUGCGUUAAGCUGUUGUUUUAGUGUUCUUUUGAUGAGUUUGGCUUGUUGUUAUGAAAAGUUUUUGUUUUGGCGAGUUUGAACGUUUUUGAGCAUGUGUAAUGGCAUGAAUGCGUUAAGCUGUUGUUUUAGUGUUCUUUUGAUGAGUUUGGCUUGUUGUUAUGAACAUUGUUCGUUUUGGCCAGUUUGAAGGUUUUUGAGCAUGUGUAAUGGCAUGAAUGCGUUAAGCUGUUGUUUUAGUGUUCUUUUGAUGAGUUUGGCUUGUUGUUAUGAACAUUGUUCGUUU